UUGACAUACACCGGUAACGCCCAGAGAUGGGUGCCCCUUUGUGGUCGGUGGACAGGUGGUGCAUGGUUGUCGUCAGCUCGUGUCGUGAGAUGUUGGGUUAAGUCCCGCAACGAGCGCAACCCUCGUCCUAUGUUGCCAGCGGGUCAUGCCGGGGACUCAUGGGAGACUGCCGGGGUCAACUCGGAGGAAGGUGGGGAUGACGUCAAAUCAUCAUGCCCCUUAUGUCUUGGGCUUCACGCAUGCUACAAUGGCCGGUACAAAGGGCUGCGAUACCGCGAGGUGGAGCGAAUCCCAGAAAGCCGGUCUCAGUUCGGAUUGGGGUCUGCAACUCGACCCCAUGAAGUCGGAGUCGCUAGUAAUCGCAGAUCAGCAACGCUGCGGUGAAUACGUUCCCGGGCCUU
rnacentral:rRNA from 1 species